AACAUCAGGUCGUACUCAGGUCAGUUUUCCACAUUGUUAUGUUUAUAUAUACAUAAAAAAAAAUCUAUCUAAACUGGUACGGCUUGAGAAAUUUUCAUAUUAUGUUUUCUGAAAAAAUGGAAUGUUGCAUUUAAAGCAUUUGAGGUGGCCCACUUCAUCCUUUACACUUUGAUUGUUAAUGCAAACAGAUAUUUGAUUUUCAGCGGGGUUAACUGUCGUGCAAUAUUUUGAGAUUUGUGCACACAAACUGUCGCGCAAUAUUUUCUUUAGCUUGUAUUGAGGAACUCUAAAUCUAAGAGUUGUCACAUAAUUUAACAAAGAACUUACCAAUUUGACAUAAAGAAUAAACUAAAGUUUUCCUAAUAUUUUUCUUUUCGUGGCAUGAACUGCAACAUCAAGUCUUAUUCUGGUCAGUUUUCUAUGUUAAGAAAUGACUCAAGAGAAGAUACAUUAUACAACUCGUGCAACUUGAGAUUUAAAACAAUAGUCUAAAUGUUUUCUUAAGUUCCAAUGAGCUUUUCUAUCGGCUAGGAUUAGAUAUUUCUGUUACGAAUAAUUCUAGUCAUUAUUAGUAGUUGAAAUUUUCCUAAAUAAGUAAUGUGCUAAUACUGGUUGUAGGAUAUUAUUAUUGUUAGACCCAAAUGAGAAAGUAAACCAAUUAAAAACACCAAGUCAUUUAUUAAUUAUGUCUAGAUGAUUAAGGUAAUUAAUUCAAUUAAAUUAAUCCUAAGUGUCAAUCAAAUAAAUAUUUAGAUCAAAUCAAUAAAAUAAAUAACAUCAAGAAUUGAUCAUGGAUGAAGAUCCUCGGGAUAAAAUAACCUCUUGGCAAACUUGCCAGUAAACGAUCCAAUAGAAAAGUUAACUUACAUUUAGUCCAAAUACUAACUCUGGUGGUUGUGCAUGCCCACACUUCCUAAAACCAUGGGCCACUUUUCUCCUAUUGGACCACCAAGAACGAACCUUUAUUCUUCAACACUAGAACUCCAAACACCUCUUCUCCAAGCUUAAGAUUUCUCAAGGUUUAUAGAUGAAGGCGGAGGGUUGUUUCGUGUUUGAAUGGCUAAAGCAAGAGAUUUAUUAGAAUAUGUAAUGGAUCUUCAAAUAAUGUUCUCUUGACUUAAAAUAAAAGCUUAACCGAUGGAAAACAAUAAAUGGGAAAAUAUUAAAUAUAUUUGUGAUUGAAUCAAGAGACCUUUUGAAAUGAGUUUAUGAUCUUCAAAUAAUGAUCUCUAUAAUGAAUAUAAUGUUCAACCACACUUUGGAAUAUUCCAUGGCUUGUGUAUUUAUAAUGGAUAGUGUUUAGGGUGAAAAGGGAUUGAAAAUCACAGUUAAAAUCGAAUCAAGAUUCUUGCUAGAUAAUAUUGCCUCCCAAGCACCAGGUAUGAACCAAGCGAGCAGCAGCCUGUCUCCAAGUGGGCAGUUGUUGCGAAAGUGAGCACCAAU
rnacentral:lncRNA from 1 species